CGUUCACUAAUGCUGGUGGAGCAAAUUGGAUCUGUCUGCUUAAAGAGACCACACUUUUCUUUGCAAAACAAAGCAAAGGUUUCCAUUGCUUGAAUCCCACUUUCCAAGCCAGUGUUUCCACGAUGACACUACAGAGUCACAAAUUGCUUUGUUGCUAGGCUGCAUGGAUCGCUGAGUUUGUGGCUGCAUUCAGAAAAAGAUGGCUACUUGUGGGAUUGUGCCAUGUGGCUCAGCAACAGAGCAGCCUGUCAUCCCCUCCCCACUGAAUUCUAGAGAUCUUUGAAAGAUCUUCUUUGGGAAACAGCUGUGCAGCUUCCCUACACAGAGGGUGCAUGGCGCCAUCUGGAAAGCAGGCAUCAUUUUGGGAAUGGCCAUAAUGAACUGUGGCCUGGUUGAUGAUGAUGCCUGGUUCUGGAGUAUCUGUCCUCCUUUUCUGACCUCCUGAGCUCUGGAGAUCUUAGAAAGACAUUUAUAAUCUGUUCAGUGUAAUGGGGAGAAGGAAUAACGCUUGAGGAACAAGAGGAGACCAAUACAAUGCUGGAUUCCAACAGAGAAGCUUCAAGAUACAUACCUGGAAUAUUACCCAAGAAAAAUAAAGGAUUAGAAUUUUCCAAGAGAAAGAGGGUGUCUUCUCCCAGAUAUCUAAGAGGUGAACUUUUCCCGUAAGCA